GUGGUCAAGAUACUAAGGGCGUAUGGUGGAUGCCUUGGCGUCGGAAGCCGAUGAAGGACGUGGUCAGCUGCGAUAAGCCUCGGGGAGGUGCGACAACCUAUGAUCCGGGGAUUUCCGAAUGGGGCAACCCGGCCCGCUUCAUCGCGGGUCACCUGCAGGUGAAUACAUAGCCUGCAGGAGGGAAGCCAGCGAACUGAAACAUCUCAGUAGCUGGACAGGAGAAAGAAACCUCGAUUCCCCUAGUAGUGGCGAGCGAACGGGGAAGAGCCCAAACCGUGUCAGUGUAAGGCCGCAGCCGUUGCUGGCGCGGGGUUUUGGAGACGGCUAUCCCGCCUGCGGAGCGGGGAGGAAGUGAUAAACCCUCAAUCUAGUAGAAGCGCCUGGAAAGGCGCGCCAGAGAAGGUGACAGCCCUGUACAUUAAAGAUUGAGGGCUUCCGCCGAGUUUCCCGAGUACUACGGGACACGUGAAACCCUGUAGGAAGAUGGGGGGGCCAACCCCCAAGGCUAAAUACUCUCCGACGACCGAUAGUGGACAAGUACCGUGAGGGAAAGGUGAAAAGUACCCCGGGAGGGGAGUGAAAUAGUACCUGAAACCGUGCGCCUACAAGCUGUAGGAGGGCUAUGCCCGCCUUCGGGCGGGAAUGCCUGACUGCGUGCCUUUUGUAUAAUGAGCCAGCGAGUUGUCUUCACCGGCAAGGUUAAGGGGUGAUACCCGGAGCCACAGGGAAACCGAGUCCUAACAGGGCGUUGAGUCGGUGGAGGCAGACCCGAAACCAGGUGAUCUACCCAUGGGCAGGGUGAAGCGCGGGUAAAACCGCGUGGAGGCCCGAACCGGUGUACGUUGAAAAGUGCUCGGAUGACCUGUGGGUAGCGGUGAAAAGCCAAACGAACCUGGAGAUAUCUGGUUCUCCCCGAAAUUCCUAUAAGGGAAGCCUCGAGUAAAUGGAGCGCGGGGGUAAGGCUCUGGAUGACCUAGGGGGUAUAACAGCUUACCAAAGUCAACUAAACCGCGAAUACCGCGCCACCUUAUCUCGGGAGUGAGAGUGCGGGGGAUAAGCUCCGUGCUCGAAAGGGAAACAGCCCAGACCAACGGCUAAGGUCCCUAAUUCAGGCUAAGUGGCAAAGGAGGUAGGGCCUCAAGGACAACCAGGAGGUUGGCUUAGAAGCAGCCACCCUUAAAAGAAAGCGUAACAGCUCACUGGUCAAGAGACCCUGCGCCGAAAAUUCAACGGGGCUAAGCCUGAAACCGAAGCCUUGGACAGUCCGCUUAAGCGGGCUGUGGUAGGGGAGCGUUCCGCAGGAGAUACAAGCCGUACGGUAACGAGCGGUGCUGGCCUGCGGAAGUGCGAAUGCUGGCAUGAGUAGCGACAAGACGGGUGAGAAUCCCGUCCGCCGAAAACCCAAGGUUUCCUGGGGCAGGCUCGUCCGCCCAGGGUUAGUCGGUCCUAAGCCGAGGCCGAAAGGCGUAGGCGAUGGCUAGCAGGUUAAUAUUCCUGCACCACUUGCAAUCAUUGAUCCGGCGGGGACGCCUCCGGGUAGGCUGGAAGGUUGAUGGUAGUGCCUAUCCGGGACAUAGGGGCGCCCGUAGCGGCGCCCUGAAGGGAACCGGCGACCUGGACGUAGGUCCGGGGAGCAGUUGAUCCCGGGGGACAAGAAAAGCCGUCCGGUGAGAUUGUAGGUGCCCGUACCGCAAACCGACACAGGUGGGUGAGGAGAGAAUCCUCAGGCGUUCGAGUUAACCACCGCUAAGGAACUAGGCAAAUUUGACCCGUAACUUCGGGAUAAGGGUCGCCACGUUAGGGUGUAAGGGUUUACCCCCCAAGCCCGAGGUGGCCGCAGUGAAAAGGCCUGGGCGACUGUUUACCAAAAACACAGGACUCUGCUAAAGCGUUAAGCUGACGUAUAGGGUCUGACGCGUGCCCGGUGCUGGAAGGUUAAGGAAGGGGGUCAGCCUUCGGGCGAAGCUCUCGACUGAAGCCCCAGUAAACGGCGGCCGUAACUAUAACGGUCCUAAGGUUAGGAGACGCUAGCCUUAGUAAAACCGAACCAUAUGCGGGAAACUCCUCGCACAGCCGUCUGGUACUCGCCCUUCGGGGCAGUAAGAAUCCAGCGGACAAGGGGACAAUCCGCAGGGAAGGCUCCGGUGAUAUAAUCGGAGAACCCUCAGAGACUUUACGUUCGGUCCCGGCCUAUGAAUCUCGAAGCCCAAUGGAUAGUCGGGUUCGUGGAUGGUGAAGGCUGUUUCUAUGUGGGGAUUAAUCCCCACCCGGAGAUGACAGCCGGAUACCAGGUGCUACCCGAGUUCACCGUCGUGCAACAUGAGCGCGAUGCACCGGUGCUGCAUGCUCUGAAGUCGUUUUUCGGCUGCGGGGUGGUGCGAAGCAAUCGGGGCAACCGCCUGGCGUACAGGGUGAGAAGCGUGAAGCACCUGGCUGAGAUCAUCAUCCCCUUCUUCGAGAAGCACCAGCUCAAAACGAAGAAGAACAUCGACUUCAAGAAGUUCAGGCGCAUCGUCCGCAUGAUGAGUGCGGGCGAGCACCUCGCUCCAGAGGGCAUUGAGAGAAUCCGCGAGAUAGCGGCGCAGAUGAACCGCGGCGCGGAUGUAGGCCGUGAAAGAUAAAGUCCGGCCCCUUCGGAAACGGAGAGGGAGUUACCGAGCGAAAUUCCUUGUCGGGUAAGUUCCGACCCGCACGAAUCGCGUAACGAUCCGGGCGCUGUCUCGGCGGUGGUCUCGGUGAAGUUGCAAAGCCGGUGAAGAUGCCGGCUACCCGCAGUAGGACGAAAAGACCCCGUGGAGCUUUACUAUAGCUUGGUCUUGG
rnacentral:rRNA from 1 species